UUCAAACACCCGUUCUCGUUUGAUCACCUAAGUUAAGCAACGUCGAGCCUGGUUAGUAAUUAGAUGUGGGACGGCUUGGAAACACCUGGUGCUGUAAG